CCUUGAUCUAAGCAUUUUGCAUCUCUGCUGUAAAAGAAUCUUGUUUAUUCUUUUUAAAUGUUUAUUUAUUUUGAGCGAGAGUGCUCCCAUGAGUGCGAGCAGGGGAGGGGCAGAGAGAGAGCGAGCCCAAUUUGGGGCUUUAUCUCAUGACCCUGAGAUCUUGACCUGAGCUGAAAUCAAUAGUUGGACCCUUAACUAUCUGAGCCACCCAGGCACCCCAAGAAUCUUGUUUAUUUUAAUGCGUGAUGUGUUCCUAUCUCUCAGUCAAAUUGGGAGACAGAACGGUCUAGUGGGAAAAAAGACAAAACAAAACUAUGGGCUUUGGAGUAAUAGUAGAUCGCCUUUGCUGACUUCUGACUAUGUAGUGAGGACAGUUGACGUGUACUAGCUUGUAGUAAUCCUAUAAGUACUACCGAUGUUUUAUUGUACAGAUGGCAAAAUGAGGGUUUAGAGAGAUCAGAUAACUCGACUGAGGUCAGGGGUGCCUGGGUGGCUCGGUUGGGUCAGCACCUGACUCUUGAUCUCAGCUCAGGUCUUGAUCUCAGGGACAUGAGUUUGAACCCAUACCGGGCAUGGAGCCUACUUUAAAAAAAAAACAAAACUUGCCUGAGGUCACACAGCUAGUAAGUAGGGGGAGUUAAAGAAUAGAGCCCGGCAGUGGGACUCCAGAGCCCAGGUUGUCAGUGACUCCCCCAGAGGGUCACAAUAUUGCUCAGUCUCUGAGCCACAAGAUCCUCAUCUGUAAAAUGGGGAUAAAUACGUAUCAUGCCAAGUGGUGAAAUGAAAGAGAAUAUAUAAAGAAUCUGGCAGGUAAUAGAUACUUAGAUAUUGGCUGUCAUUGUUACCAUGUUUGUAGCCUGCCAAAUGGUUCCUCUGAUUACAACUGGGGUGUGGACCCUGACAGCAUGUAGAGAAAUAAACAUCUUGGCCCCUCGACAAACAAGCUCUGUGAUAAUUGGGGAAGUCGCUUAAUAUCCCUGAACACAUACCUCAUUUGUAAAGUGGAGGAGAUAAUAAUAAUACUUCUCUAUUAGGGUUGUUGUAAGGAUCAGAUGAGAUCACGUGACCAUGCCUGGCACAUAGAACAUGUUCAGUAAAUGUUAACUCUUACUAUUUAUUAAGGGUACGUUUUUUGUAAAGGAAGGCUCUUGUGAAUGGUAGUGCUGGGGUUGUGAAAGCAGGGUAUGGCGGUGGAGGUCCCCCUCUAUUGGAGGGGCUGUUUCAGAACGUUUUCCAAAGGCAGUUAGUGUCUUUUGAUUUAAAAACAAAUAUUAGAAAAAGCAGGUCUGUUCAAUAUAUGAUGGAGAGAAUAGCGGUUUGGCUCUAAAACCCCCAAUGAAGGUACUAGAACAUUGUGUAGUUUUAUGCUCUAAUCUCCCAAACCAGGUUCAUCCCUCUGAUGCUAAAACUUCGGUAUUCUCUCAGAGGAGAAGGCAAGGGAGACUUGAAAUGUAUUGCUCUUCCCCUGCUGUGACACUCCUGACCCUACACUCUAUGUCAAGAACUGCAGACCAAACUCCAAAGUCUCCAGGAUUCAGGCCUCAUGUGGAUCUGCCUGUGGGGCUGGUGGGGCGGGUCCUAGGCCUAGCACCAACCCUGAAGGGCAAUUUUCAGCACAGCAGGGCCUCACAUCAUCCUCCUGGACACUCCUCGGAGAAUUUAGGGUGCUUGGAAACCCACACGGCGGCCCAGCACUGACGCGGGUUUCUUGGGGCAGAGCCACGCCUGGCUCACCUUUCUGUCGCCGCUCACGUAUGCGGUUUGUAGCCUCGGAUUGGAUUGGACAACAAGGCCCGAGAUCCUUCUUGGCUACAUGGGUUGGUCUGUAACCUCCCAUCUCCAUCCCCUCUGUGCCCUGCUUGAGGACUCCAGUAAGCCCCACCUACCAGUCGCCAAGCACACUAGGGAGUGAAAGGAAGUCCCAGAGAGGUAAGGGAGACAGUUUGUAGUAAGGGAAGAACAGAAGAAAUGGGAGGGAGCGUGCUCAGUGAAUGCCAGCUGGUUCUUAGAUGCGCUCCAGCCCGGCCUGUUUAUCUCGUGAGCUUCAGAAGGCAAGCCGCCCCCGCCCGCCAUGGCUCCUUCCCCGUGUGAUGACAUCUUUCCUUGAUCCCACUGACAGAGCAUUGCUGUUGAGUUGGUGUGGAUGCUGCUGAACGCUCACUGUCACCUUCUGUAUUCAUCUUGGGGAGCAGUAACCCAGCCUGUCGGGGCCUCCUGCACAGACCGCCCUUUGAAUGGUGUUCUGAGCCUUCAGUGACGCUGGCAGCGAUGAUGCAUUACAAAACCAAACAAAUUAUUCCUCGGGACAGACGACCCGGGGGCAAAUCAACCACCACAACAGAAAAGACAAGCUUUCAAACCAAGGAGAGAAGACAAGAUUGUAAUGCCUUCCUAACAACCUUGCUUUAUUGAUGCAAUGCAAGGAAAACUACAUUAGAUUCUAUUGAUUCUCUUUGAGAUCUAAUAAUAUGCUCUAUUCAGAUCUUAUUCACAUACACUUCCUCCACAGUCUUUCUCAGGAGCUGAAAUUGGCCAGUUACAAACAGAAUUUGUUCUCCCGUCCUUUGAAAUCACAGAAGCGGACGUGUUUUCGAACACAAAAGAUACGAAGCUUUCUUUGGGAAACAAAGCAUAGUGGGGAAAAAUAUCUCCCCUCUAAACAAAAUUGAAAGCAUGCCUUACUUCAGAUUUAUUUGAUUACAGAAUCUUCCUCGGGGCUAAUCAGUUUUCGAACCCAUUUCUAUUGGCACCAGUGAGCUAAUAAAAAACCCAGAAGGAGAGAAGUAUCACAACAACUCAGAGAAACUAGGUUGUUCAUUUAAAAAAAAAAAAAAAAGCAUUGAAUUAAUGUUUACACUGCUGAGUCAAAUUAUUUAUAUGUAUGCUAUAGGUUUUGCAUCCCCAGAAUUUGUUAGCAUUCAGAGUAUGAUAAAUUGUACCUGGCUGACUUGUGAAAAACCAUCUCAAGAAAGAUUUUUUUUUUUUUCCAGUGGGAAAAUAUAUGGAUGACACACGGUGGCUUAUUGAAACUGUUCUUUGGGUGAACAGCCAGAACAAUUCAGCAGAAGGGAGAGGCGGAUUUACAAAUUAUUAUUUUUUAUUUUUUGAGAGAGAGAAUGAGCAGGGGAGGGGCAGAGAGACAGGCAGAGAGAGAAUCCCAAGCAGGCUCCACACCAUCAGCACAGAACCCGAUGCAGGGCUCGAACUCACGAACCAUGAGAUCAUGACCUGAGCCGAAACCAGGAGUCAGACGCUCAACUGACAGAGCCCCCCAGGCGCCCCAAGGAGAGGCGGGGUCUUGGAUGUCACCGUGGAUGAUUAAGAAUUUUGGCUUUGGGGCAGUGUUGUAAUAAUGCUCAUCAGGUAACUUCUGUACCUCGUCUGCAUCUCUACAGUAGGUUGGAAACUCAGGGUUUUCUGCAAAUAUUCAAAGCAAUAAAACACACAGUACUACAGGAGCCCGUCCAGAGUUAAGAAUCUAAUAAAUGUCAGCUUUUGUAUCCUUGUUA